GCUUGUCUCAAAGAUUAAGCCAUGCAUGUCUAAGUACAAGCCUCAGUAAGGUGAAACCGCGAAUGGCUCAUUAAAUCACACCUAAUCUACUGGAAAGUUACUAGUUACUUGGAUAACUGAGGUAAUUCUUGAGCUAAUACAUGCGAAAAAUCUCGACUCACGGAGAGAUGCUUUUAUUAGAUCAAAACCAAACGGCUUCGGCCGUCUCAUUGGUGACUCAUAGUAACUAAUCGGAUCGCAUGGGCCUGUCCCGCGACAAACCAUUCAAGUUUCUGCCCCAUCAGCUUUCGAUGGUAGUGUAUUGGACUACCAUGGCUUUUACGGGUAACGGAGGAUUAGGGUUCGAUUCCGGAGAGGGAGCCUGAGAAACGGCUACCACAUCUAAGGAAGGCAGCAGG
rnacentral:rRNA from 1 species